rnacentral:rRNA from 1 species
UGGGGAAUUUUCCGCAAUGGGCGAAAGCCUGACGGAGCAAUGCCGCGUGGAGGUGGAAGGCCUACGGGUCGGUUCAACUUCUUUUACUCGGAGAAGAAACAAUGACGGUAUCUGAGGAAUAAGCAUCGGCUAACUCUGUGUCAG